rnacentral:rRNA from 1 species
UACAGAGGUCCCGAGCGUUGUUCGGAUUCACUGGGCGUAAAGGGUGCGUAGGUGGCGAGGAAAGUCGGAUGUGAAAGCUCGGAGCUCAACUCCGAAAUGGCAUUGGAAACUACCUUGCUCGAGGGUUGGAGGGGGACUGGAAUUCUCGGUGUAGCAGUGAAAUGCGUUAGAUAUCGAGAGGAACACCAGUGGCGAAGGCGAGUCCCUGGACAACUCCUGACACUGAGGCACGAAAGCUAGGGGAGCAAACAGG